rnacentral:lncRNA from 1 species
AUCACCCCCACCAGCAGCCCCAAGACAAAGAAGCGCCCUGCCCCCAAAGCACCCAGUGCUUCCCCACUUGUUCUCCACGCCUCCCGCCUAUCACACUCAGAACCUCCUUCAGCAACGCCGUCACCAGCCCUCAGUGUGGAGAGUCUGUCAUCCGAGAGUUCCAGUCACACUGCCAAUACAGAGCCUUCGGAGCCACCUGCCGUGCCUAAGAGCUCCUCGGAUCCUGCUGUGCACGUGCCUGGCACCCCUGGCACAUCUGCGAACUCUGUCACCCCCUCAGCCCACUCUUCCCUAUCGUCUUCUGGGGAGCUAGGGCAGCCUAGUGGUGAACAAAUGCCACAGGCCAGGACAAGGGGCAGCCCAGGUACCCACUCCACCAAGCCCUUCAGUGGUGCCACCCCCACGCCCUUCUUG